GGUUUUUAGAAAUUAUUAAAAAUCUGGCCUGCUCAAUGCUAAAGUAAAUAGCCGCAGUAUUAUGACUGUGCAAAGGUAGCAUAAUCAUUUGUCUUUUAAUUUGGGACUAGAAUGAAAGGUUCAACUAAGUAAUAUUGUCUUAUAAUUAUAUUUUGAAUUUUAUAUUUUAGUAAAAAAGCUAAAAUUUAUUUCAAUGACAAGAAGACCCUAUCAAGCUUUACAAUUAAUCUAUUUAUUUUCAAACUAAAUAGAAAAUUGUUUUACUGGGGCAGUAAAUAAAACUUUUUUAUUUAAAUAUUAUGAAAAAUAAAUCUUGUUAAAACAAAAAAUUUUUAAAUAAUAAUAAGUUACUGUAGGGAUAACAGCAUAAUUUUUUUAAAGAGUUCUUAUCAUCAAAAAAGUUUGUGACCUCGAUGUUGGAUUAAGAUUCCUAAUUUGUGCAAUAAUUAAAAAAGGAAGUCUGUUCGACUUUUAAAUUCUUCCA
rnacentral:rRNA from 1 species